AGAUGGCGACCGGCGCACGGGUGAGUAACACGUAUCCAACCUGCCGAUAACUCGGGGAUAGCCUUUCGAAAGAAAGAUUAAUACCCGAUAGUAUAAUGAAACCGCAUGGUCUUAUUAUUAAAGAAUUUCGGUUAUCGAUGGGGAUGCGUUCCAUUAGGCAGUUGGUGAGGUAACGGCUCACCAAACCUUCGAUGGAUAAGGGUUCUGAGAGGAAGGUCCCCCACAUUGGAACUGAGACACGGUCCAA
rnacentral:rRNA from 1 species